UACGAAGGGGGCUAGCGUUGUUCGGAAUUACUGGGCGUAAAGCGCACGUAGGCGGAUAUUUAAGUCAGGGGUGAAAUCCCGCAGCUCAACUGCGGAACUGCCUUUGAUACUGGGUAUCUUGAGUAUGGAAGAGGUAAGUGGAAUUCCGAGUGUAGAGGUGAAAUUCGUAGAUAUUCGGAGGAACACCAGUGGCGAAGGCGGCUUACUGGUCCAUUACUGACGCUGAGGUGCGAAAGCGUGGGGAGCAAACAGG
rnacentral:rRNA from 3 species